rnacentral:rRNA from 1 species
AUGAGUGCAUUGAUAUGGAACUGCCGGGGUGGGGGGAACCGCCGGACAGUUCGUGAGGUCUUGGCCCUCUCAAAAGCCAAUUCCCCGGGGCUUAUUUUCCUGUCAGAAACAAGAUAAGCCUCAUGUAAGAUGGAGAAGUUGAAGUGGAGACUGCAGAUGAGAGGUUUUGUGGGUGUGUCUAGUGAGGGUCUCAGUGGGGGACUCGCACUUUAUUGGGAUGAAAGGCUGCAGGUAACGGUGUUGGAUUCGUGUGCACGGUACAUUGACGUGCGAAAAUUGUCGACAAUGCAAAUGAUAAGUCAUGGAGAACAACUUUUGUCUAUGGUGAGCCAAGAGUGGAGAACCGCCAUCGCAUGUGGAGCUAUAUCUCUAACUUACGAGCGGUGUCGGAGGAACCUUGGUUGGUAUGCGAUGAUUUUAACGAGGCAAUGUGGCAACAUGAACACCUCUCACGCUCUGUACGGUCAGAAAAUCAGAUGUUGA